GUAACCGAGCCGGCCCUGGGCUGCUGGAGGGACGGAGGCGGCCAUGGUGGAUCGAUAGCUGUGGGGAGAGAAAGGAAACCGAGGACGGGAAGGAAAAUGAAGCUAAGUUGCCUUCGGAGGCACUGGGCGUCUGCAGAGACGGUUCUCUGUCUUUCCAAGGUGCUUGUAGAUUGUGGCCUCUGCCUCCGCUGGCCUCUCCUCUAAGGAUCUCAGCUUCCCGAAGGCCAUGUUGGGUGAAGAUCGGAGUCGCCCAAGGGGACCAGCAGGUGGGGCCAGACCCCGGCUCUGACCUCACGCCUGGGUGACAGGGGCACACAUUGCUCCUCGCUGAGCUCAUCUCCCACCUCCAUACCAUGGGCACACAGGCCUUCAGAGAGCAGCCUAUUCCUCUGGUUCCUGGGAUGAAAUCCCAAACGACUGGCAUCACGUCUUGUCACAGAUCUGCGUUGAGAGGGACAACUCUGGUCUCUCCACAGAUGCCACCUGGGCACUGCCUACUGGGGUGACCCUAGGACCUGCGACCAGCCCUCAGGGGAGCUCACGGCUGCUGUGCUGGGACCAGCUCUGCAUUGCAGGCUCCUCUCUGCCCGCCGCGGCUCCCACCCGCUCCCCUCCCAGAGGACUCACUCCAAAGGAAGCCCGUCCUCUGUCAGCAGAGCCGCCUCACCCGGGAAAGGGACUUUCAUCUCUUUGAGCAAGACUUCCUGCUGCAUCAGCAGAAACUUCAGGCUCCCCAAGAAAUAGGCUCCGGACUCCCUGGGCAGCCUCCAGAGAGCCCAGCCUCUUCUGGGAUGUGAGGGCUGGAACCGGGCACAGCAGCCGGGGCAGCUCGGGGGUUCAGGGCACAGACUUUGGGGUAGGACACAUCAGCCUUGAGUUCUUGCUCUGCUGUGUGACCUUGGGUCGGUUGCUUUCUCUUAUGAUUCAGCUUCCUUAAGCAAGCUGAGGAGACAAACUAUAGUGAAUCAGCAGGCCGCGAGUUACUCCCUGUUGUGGAGGAGGGUAGCUUUGCCACGAACGACUCUAUUUUAUAAAACAGCAGUUUGCUCUGUUUGGAGCACAAGUGGUUAAGCAGAGUAACUCGGAAACUCGACUGGGCCAACAGAUAACCCCCAGGUGCUGGACAUACCAGACUCAUGGACAAAGCCAGCUCCUGGCCACACAGCACCAACACGAGGUGUGAGCUGGUAGAUUCGUCGUGCUGAUAAAGAAUAGCCACCUGCAAACUUCUCCAUGAAACCAAGAGCACACGGACGCGUGACAAUACCUGAAUUACAUCAGACAAAACCAGGCCAACGACUGCUGCUGUCCUCUCACCUGGAUCAUACCAGAGAAGGGACACCCACCGCCGGGCAUGGAGGCGACACACACCGGACCUCAUCCCUCAGACCACCCUGUGAGGGUGGUCAGGUCGGCCGGCAGUGAACUCCAGUUCCCAGUUCCGCGCGGCCCACUCCAAGUGUCUGCCCUCAAGACAGGCUCUGACCAGCUCUGAGCUCCCAGCAGGCCUGGAACCUCACAUGGACCCCUGGGGUCACCUCCCACAUCUCUGUGGACUCUGCCUUGGAUCGCAGCCCUCUGCUUGGAUCCCACAGCCCCUGCUAGCCUUUUCCCAGCUGCUGUGUCACCUGCAUAGUACUGUGUAAAGUGUGACGUGUGACUUGAGUGUUU